UUAUGGGCGUGAUCCAAAGCCAAUUGUAGUCAAUGGGAAUUUUUCCAUUGGCAUCAAUGGGCUUUGGAUCAGGUCCUGUGUAA
rnacentral:pre_miRNA from 1 species